AUUUUCAUUGAUAACUUUGAAAAAUUACACAGUGAAAUGCUAAAACUGGCGGAAAACAUAGAUAUUCCCGAAAACUAAAUCCAAAAAACACGGAAAACUAAAACCCAAACAUACGAGCUUCAUACGAACAGCUGAAACAUAUACUAAACUCUUACAUCCCUUCAAAAACCCAUAAUCUAAUUAUCUAUGGAUAAGAGAACCAAUACUUGAUUGUCUAAGACUAGCCGGAGAUCUUACCAACAACUGAACAAGAGAACACACAACGUUUGUCAAGAAGAGCAGAGACCUCAUCUGAACCUCCUGUUCAAGAUGACAACACCCAAC
rnacentral:lncRNA from 1 species